CAACCAUCAAGCACAGCUUGGCAAUGGGCCUCGUCCGCGCUCUCGGUAGCGCGGGCGUGCCCCGAAACCGUCGGCAGAGUCACGCGGACCCGCCGGGCGUAGCAGAAAAGGAAGGCCUCACCGCCGACCCCUCACGUCCAAAGCGACCGCGCACCCGCGCCGUUAAGCCAAUGGCCCGCGAGGGCCGAACCCCAAA
rnacentral:misc_RNA from 1 species